GACGAACGCUGGCGGCGUGCCUAACACAUGCAAGUUGAGCGACGAACCAGGGCUUGCCCUGGGGCAAAGCAGCGAACGGGUGAGUAACACGUGGGUAACCUGCCCCGAUAACCGGGACAACCCGAGGAAACUCGGGCUAAUACCGGAUGUGCUCGCCGGACUCAAGUCCGGCGCGUAAAGGAAGCUUCGGCCUCCGUAUCGGGAGGGGCCCGCGGCCCAUUAGCUAGUUGGUGAGGUAACGGCUCACCAAGGCAACGAUGGGUAGCUGGUCUGAGAGGACGAUCAGCCACACUGGGACUGAGACACGGCCCAGACUCCUACGGGAGGCAGCAGUGGGGAAUCAUGCGCAAUGCGCGAAAGCGUGACGCAGCAACGCCGCGU
rnacentral:rRNA from 1 species